rnacentral:lncRNA from 1 species
AUGCUGCUGCUGGGACGGGCCCUGGCAGCCUCUGGAAACAUCCAGGGGCUCUGCCAGGGAAUCCUGAACUUCCAGCGGGAUCAGAGCCCGGAGCAGGGGGGCUGUGCCCCGGUCAGAGCAGGGUGGGGGGCUCCAGGAGGGCACGGAGCUGCUCCCGCUGAUCCAUGGGAACAAAACCAGGGCUGGGACAAUCCCCGCUUCCCUCUCUCCCCUUGCUGGCACCCCUGGAAAUCUGCUCCUGCCUGUGCCCCUGCCCCGAGGGCUCCUCCUCUGUCCUGCCCCAGCACAGCCAGGAAGGAACCGAGGUGCUCCCCAUGUCAGGAAUGCGAUCCUCUGGGAUCCUCUGGGAUCCUCUGGGAUCCGCUGGGAUCCGCUGGGAUCCUCUGGGAUCCUCUGGGAUCCGCUGGGAUCCGCUGGGAUCCGCUGGGAUCCGCUGGGGUCUGCUGGGAUCCUCUGGGAUCCUCGGGGAUCCUCUGGGAUCCGCUGGGAUCCCCGGGGAUCCGCUGGGAUCCGCUGGGAUCCGCUGGGAUCCGCUGGGAUCCUCGGGGAUCCGCUGGGAUCCGCUGGGAUCCGCUGGGAUCCCCUUCCCUGCUGUCCCUGCCAUGGACAGACCCUUCUUCCCGCACUGUCCGUGCCCGGGGGAUGCUGAGCUCCCCCUCCAGCCCUGUGGGACGGGCAAAGGGAUCCAGGAUCCGGGAUCCAGGAGCGAUCCUGCCCCGAGCCUCGCCGGGAUUCCCUGGAUGUUCCCUCGCGAUCCAAACCCCGCUCCAGCUCGGGGCUGGCGGCUCCAGCAGCUCCCGAGCCAUGAGGAUGCCGUGGGUGGCCUCUCCCAAGCUGGAAUCCUGCCUGGAUCCAGCGCUUUGGGGCAGAUGGAUCCAGGGAGAUCCAAGCGGAUCGGGCCGGCCUGUCCGGGCUGUCCCGUUCGGGAGGGACGGAGCAGCCCAGGGGGGGAGGCUCAGCCCAGCCCAGCCCAGCCCAGCCCAGCCCAGCCCGGGUGGAUUCCCCCAAAUCCCAGGCUCCGAGGCCCCCGAUGCUCCCGGGGACGCUCUCCCGGAGCCAUCGGAGCCCCAGGAGAGGCAAUUCCCACCCCAACCCCUCCUGCCCUCUCCAGCCAGCCUGGACACAGCUCCGGAACAUUUCCCGGCUCCAGCCCCGAGCCCCCCCAGCCGAGCGGGCCGGGGGUCGCUGGCAGGGCAGCCCCGGCUCUGCUGCCCCGGGAUGCGGUACCUGGCUGCCCUGGGAUCCCGGCUCCAUCCCCGGCCAUCCCGGAGCUCCCGGGGAGCGGCCGCC